rnacentral:lncRNA from 1 species
GCUGUUCUUCCUUCCUUGACGGCUCUGGUUGUGGUAGGGCCCUCGAUCGAUCUUCCCAACCUUCAGGCCAGUGUCGGAUGAAUCUGUUGAGCCGACCUCAUCUGAUGAGCUCCUCGAUCUUGUCUCAGAGCUGAAUACACUCCUCCAUGUCGUGGCCAUGGUCAUGAUGAUAGAGACAGAAUUUGUUAGGAUUGUGCUUCUCGAGGUAUGUGCACAUCUUUUUCGGCCUUGGCAGCUGCUCCCUGAUCUCCAU